GAUGAACGCUGGCGGCGUGCCUAAUACAUGCAAGUCGAGCGAACAGAUGAGGAGCUUGCUCCUCUGACGUUAUCGGCGGACGGGUGAGUCCCACGUGGAUAACCUACCUAUACGACUGGGAUAACUUCGGGAAACCGGAGCUAAUACCGGAUAACAUUUUGAACCGCAUGGUUCCACAGUGGAAGACGGUCUUGCUUUCGCUUAUAGAUGGACCCGCGCCGCAUUAGCUAGUUGGUAAGGUAACGGCUUACCAAGGCAACGAUUCGAAGACGACCUGAGAGGGUGGAUGCACACACGGUAACUGAGACACGGUCCAGACUCCUACGGUAGGCAGCAGUAGGGAAUCUUCCGCAAUGGGCGAAAGCCUGACGGUGCAACGCCGCGUGAGUCAUGAAGGACUUCGGCUCGUAAAACGAUGUUAUUAGGGAAGAACAAAUGUGUAAGUAACUGGGCACGUAUUGACGGUACCGAAUCAGAAAGCCACGGCUAACUACGUG
rnacentral:rRNA from 1 species